rnacentral:rRNA from 1 species
GAUGAACGCUGGCGGCGUGCCUAAUACAUGCAAGUCGAGCGAACAGACGAGGAGCUUGCUCCUCUGACGUUAGCGGCGGACGGGUGAGUAACACGUGGAUAACCUACCUAUAAGACUGGGAUAACUUCGGGAAACCGGAGCUAAUACCGGAUAAUAUAUUGAACCGCAUGGUUCAAUAGUGAAAGACGGUUUUGCUGUCACUUAUAGAUGGAUCCGCGCCGCAUUAGCUAGUUGGUAAGGUAACGGCUUACCAAGGCAACGAUGCGUAGCCGACCUGAGAGGGUGAUCGGCCACACUGGAACUGAGACACGGUCCAGACUCCUACGGGAGGCAGCAGUAGGGAAUCGUCCGCAAUGGGCGAAAGCCUGACGGAGCAACGCCGCGUGAGUGAUGAAGGUCUUCGGAUCGUAAAACUCUGUUAUUAGGGAAGAACAAAUGUGUAAGUAACUAUGCACGUCUUGACGGUACCUAAUCAAAGCCACGGCUAACUACGUG